UUUCCUUCACUGAGCCGAGGGUCGAUUGGAAACAGCCUCUCUGCCCUUUCGGGUAAGGGUAAGGCCCGUCUACAUAUUACCCUUCCCAUACCUCACUUAGUUGGACUAUACUGGAUAGUUAUUGUAGUUGUUGUUGUUGUUGUUAUAACAACAUUCACAAUAACAGCUAAAAAAUACCAAAACAAACGAGUUUGUUAUAUAUACACUAAUUUUAUAGCCACUGCAGCUUUCACAUAGUAGUAGUAGGUAUGAUUGAUUAAAAGUGUUCAAUUAUAGGAAGGGAGAAUCAGCAUGCAUGUAACACCCUAAAAACAAAUACUAAUAAGAAGGAGAGAAGGGGAAAUCUCACUCUCUUGUUCAGCAAAGUCAAUGCUAAACUCUCUGAUUCUUGUGCAGCAGGCUAAUGUCCCUCUCAUGAUCACCAUACUUGAAUAUAUUAGGAGAGCUAAUAAGCACUUUGGACCUCAUGCAUUAUAGAGCCUGUAAUAUAAGAUGCAGUUAUAAUUCACUAAACAUGGAAAAUAGAAGUUAAUGCUACUACAUCUAAAUUAUUACAAAUAUAGGAAUUUGAUGCAGCUACCCGCUGGUUCGAUCCCGGCAACGGCGUUAUCUUUUAUGGUUAUACUUUUUCUGGACAGCUAAAUGUGAUUGUUCUAGCUGUGGUUUGAUUUGUAAAUAUAUACUUUGGUGAUUAAAAAAAUUACUUUAGUUACCAAAAAAGAUUGAUGCAGCCAGAAUUUUCAGACAAUAACAACCCAUUAUAAUCCCACUUAGUAGGAUCUGGGGAGGGUAGUAUGUACGCAGACCUUACCCCUACCCUGGAAGGUAAGUCCCAUAUCCACCCAUAGCAAAGAGGGCAACAGCCUGAAAAAGGGAAUUGAAUCCUUUUAGCAAAUUCAAUAAACAACCACAAAAACCCCAGUAUAAUCCCAUUUAGUGGGGUCUGAAAAGGAUAGUGUGUAUGCAGACCUUACCCCUACCUUGGGGUAGAGAGGUUGUUUUCAAAUAAACCCUCGGCAUCCUUCCCUCAACUUCCCACCUUGCUCUUGGGGAGACUCGAACGCACAACCUCUCGGUUGAAAGUGGAGGUUGCUUACCAUUAGAGCAAGACAACGAAAUUUUUUUUAGUGCUAAUUGGAGUUUUGAUUUGCUCCAGAAACCACUGAAAGCUCAACCCAUAUAGUCCGAGAAGGAACAUAAAUGGAGCAACAGAACCCAAAAACCAACAAAUCCAAAAUAUCGCUUUUUUUAUGGUCCAUAAUAUUUAAUUUUUUUAAAUAUCAAGAAAAAAUUAAUUUUUUUUUAUUUUAUUUUUACUCAAUCAAAAAGUGGUCCCAUAGACCAUUUAGCGAGCCUCCUACUUAGCUCAGAGCACGGUCAUUCACAAUCUGAGUCUACAAUUGUCAAACUCUAGUCUUUGAAUGAAAAGUGAAAUCAGGGAAAAGGAAUCACUUUUUCAGUAUAAAUAUAAGAGUAAGAACCGUUGACCGUUUGUCAUACAACCUUUCUAUAAGUAAAAAAAAAGUUUUAACUUUUAUAUACUCUUAACAAAAUAAGCAACUAUUUAUAAAUAGUGGGAUUGAUAAUCUAACAUUAAGAUAAUGCAACUUGUUAUAACAUAGACAAGAGGGGUUGGUCUGAUGUUAAGCAAGCCCCACUUUCAAUAGAAUCGUUAUGAGUUUGAAUCUUCCCAAGAGCAAAGUGAUAAGUUUUUGGAUGGAAGGAUGCCGGGAGUCUAUUUGGAAACAGACUCUCUACCCCAGAAUUACAUACUACCCUCCCCAGACCCUACUAAGUGAUUAUACUGGGUUGUUGUUGUUGUAACUUGUUAUAACAUAUUAAAGUACACUGAUAAUAUAUAAAAAAAUACGAUUACAGUAUGUUAAAUCCAGAAAAGAACAAGAGAUUGAAAAAGGCAUUGGACUGUUUCAGAUUUAUCGUGAUCUGGAUUUCACUGAAAAAACACGUCAAAAAUGGAGCUUGUUGCAUCUUAAACAUUUCCAUUCACGAAAACUGACCAAAUGUUGGAUAAGAAUAUAUAUAUAUAUAUAUAUUCUUAGAGCAACAAAAGAAAAAUGGACGAAUAAAUAGAACAAGAAGCUGACCUCUGUUUGUGUAUGAAGCACUUCAAUCUUCUCGCAUGUAAAAAGGAUGGAAAUAGACAUCAUUCAAGAUCCCACAUUCAUAAUUCAAGAAAACUUUUUUCUUGUUUUCAAGUGUGAAUUAAUGGUGUGGUCUGUAGUCAAAAGAAAGAAAGAGUAAUUAAGAGAAGACUUGGAUAUGACUAUUCAGGAGGAGGAUGAAGUACAUGAGAUUGGUAUUAAAAGCAAAUGAGAAGUGACAGAGCAGAGAAGAAAGGGGUUAUGCGUGUGUGAGGAAUGGGAUGAGUAUGUGAAUAUAAAGACAUUUAUGGUGAGAAGAGAGAUACGUGGUGGGGUUAGCUAAGAGGUCGAGGCUAACGUAGUAGG
rnacentral:lncRNA from 1 species